CCUACGGGAGGCAGCAGUAGGGAAUAUUGGGCAAUGGGCGAGAGCCUGACCCAGCCAUGCCGCGUGCAGGAUGAAGGCCUUCUGGGUUGUAAACUGCUUUUCUCAGGGAAGAAAAAGAGGAUGCGUCCUAAACUGACGGUACCUGAGGAAUAAGCACCGGCUAACUCCGUGCCAGCAGCCGCGGUAAUACGGAGGGUGCAAGCGUUGUCCGGAUUUAUUGGGUUUAAAGGGUGCGUAGGCGGCCCGUUAAGUCCGGGGUGAAAGCCCACAGCUCAACUGUGGAACUGCCCUGGAUACUGGCGGGCUUGAGUCCAGACGAGGUUGGCGGAAUGGAAGGUGUAGCGGUGAAAUGCAUAGAUACCUUCCAGAACCCCGAUUGCGUAGGCAGCUGACUAGGCUGGUACUGACGCUGAGGCACGAAAGCGUGGGGAGCGAACAGGAUUAGAUACCCUGGUAGUCCACGCCGUAAACGAUGGAUACUCGCUGGUGGCGAUAGACAGUCACUGGCUUAGCGAAAGCGGUAAGUAUCCACCUGGGGAGUACGCUCGCAGAGUGAAACUCAAGGAAUUGACGG
rnacentral:rRNA from 1 species